CUUUGGAGCAAUUUUUAAACCUCGGUAUGCAAACCACUACACCAAGACUUUAGAAGGAAUAAUGGAGCAAAGAUGUGUUCUUUCUGAUGCAGCUAAGAGUGAAGCUGUGCAAGAGGCAGGUUCCUCCCUUCCGCCUCCCUCUCCCCAUCUCUUCUAUUCUGCUUCACAGAAGAAAGACACAUACCUCAAAAAUCUCUCCAGACAUCAAACAAGAUAUUUCUGUUAAAAGUGAAAAACUGGCAUUUAAAAUGGAUUGGUAUUGAUAAUUGUUGUUUAAAGAUCUCACCUUUUCCAACUUUUCACACUGUCAAAGAAUGCGUCACUUUUGAAGGAGUUCCUUAACAGCAAAGCAAAUAACAUACAAGCAAGAGAUAUUAGGCAAGUGACUUAACCUCUCUGCGCUUCAGUUUUCAUCUUUAAAGUGGACUAUCAACAGGACCUAUCCAUAAGGUUGUGAUGAGGAUUAAAUGGUUAACAGAUAAGUUAAAGUGUAUGAAAUUUCUGUGUUCAACCACUUUUGAGCUAUAAAGAAAUCAACUUCAUAUAGUUCAUAAUACAGUUAGGAAUAUAAUUAGUAUUCCUAAUAAACUUCCAAGAAAUAAAGAGAGUAAAUGAUUUUGACCACUAGGUACCAAAUCCCUUUGCAGAUCAGUGGUUUUCAAAUUCUUUGCUUUUGACAAAAUUGAGGGAGGACUUAAUUAAGCAAUGAGUAAAUAGGUUAUUAAAAAUAAUUUUUGGUGAUAGAUUACUAUGUAAUUUUUUACUUAUAAAAAGAAUACAAAUAAUUGAGUGAUAUUUAUACUAAAAACUACUGUCAUUUCUGUCAGAAUAUUUAUGAAGUCAUAUGUUUUGAUCCGUACAACCGUAAAAAUUAAAAAUAGAAAUAGAACUGAUCCUGAAUUUGUUUGCAUUCUAAUGCUAAGGAAUAUAAGAUAUAUUCAUCUCUGCAUACAUUAAUUAACACUCUACAAUAACUCAAUCUCAUUAAGGGGUUAAUUUCUAAUAAAUUAUUAUAUAUUUAUAAUAAAAUUUUACUUUUAGCUAUUGUGUUUUGAUAAAUUAAAGAACAUAUUGAAAUAACUCAGCCCAGAAAAAAUGCAUAUUAAAUCUACAAUUAUAGGAAAUUUUUAAUAAACCACAUUGAAUUCAUAUCCACAAUCUGAUUGUUUCUCUGAAUAGACAGGCAUAAAUCAACAAGUAUGCUGCAUGAGAAAACAUGCACCUGUGGAGUAAGAUACCAACAUUGGCUUCUAAUUCUGGUGGUGGCACUUCUUGAGGCCCUCUCUUGGAUUUGAUUAUUCAUGCCUGAGUGGAGUGUCAGCUGCAGAAAUAGGAGGUUUAAUGAGUUUCAUGGGGAUACCUCAUUCCAAGAACAAAAACUGGAAAAGGAAUAAAACGCUUCCCCAAUGGUGUAAAUAUGAGGUUGGAGUGCAUAAAGAAAAAGAAGAAAAUCAUAAGCUUUGAAUUUAAAAUUUCAUUCUAUAAAGAUCAAUCAUAACUUCCAACUGUGAAAAUAGAAAAGUGUUCAUUUCAAAGUGAAACAAAAACAUCAUUUUACAUUCUAUUAGUUAAAUCAGCAUAAAUAAAACACUCUAGUACCAGAAAGACUUUGCACUUAUUAUAUGUGCAAUUGCCUAUGGCAGAACUAUAGCAAACGUUAAUUAUUAUACUUACUGUUUGCAUGAUAACUGGUAAUGUAAAAAAAAUGCAAAUAAGACCCUUCAAGUGAGGAUUCAUUAUUCAGAUUUCAGAUUUCUUUCUCUCAAAUUUUUCAGAAAUUUAUUUUGAAAGUAAUAAAAAAUAAUUAAAAUUGACAUUUUAUGUUUUUAGUUCAUCUUCAAUUUUCUAACAUCCAACUCUGAAUUGACAUACGUAUACUCUGACCAUCUUAUUUGAGUGGAAAGUUGAAAGAAAGCAACACACCAGCUAUACCCAUCCAGCGCUCCUUGGGGUGGAAUAGCAAAGUUCUAGGGCAGAGCCUUCCUUCCCAGAGCCGGCGGUGCAUUCGCUCUCGGAUACCUGCUCAGCUUCACGCCGCAUCUGAAGGUCUGCCCGCCGCGGAACAGUUGCGUCUCCAUCUGGCUGCCAACCCACCCAAGCUUUCUUCUCCUCCACCACCACCACCUUCCCUCCUUCCCCCCACCUCCCCCUCCUUUCCGUCUUCCCUUUCCACCCCCGCCCCCAAUCUCCUCCUCUUUUUCUCACUACAAGCGGUUGCUGAUGCUGAAGCCGAGCGUCACUUCGGCUCCCACGGCAGACAUGGCGACAUUGACAGUGGUCCAGCCGCUCACUCUGGACAGAGAUGUUGCCAGAGCAAUUGAAUUACUGGAAAAACUACAGGAAUCUGGAGAAGUACCAGUGCACAAGCUACAAUCUCUCAAAAAAGUCCUUCAGAGUGAGUUUUGUACUGCUAUUCGAGAGGUGUAUCAAUAUAUGCAUGAAACGAUAACUGUUAAUGGCUGUCCCGAAUUCCGUGCCAGGGCCACAGCAAAGGUGUUCUCGUGUGUACACUAAGAGAAUUUAGACAUCAGUGGCAGCCCAGAGUCUAGAACCAGUACUACUUCCCAGGCCACAGUUGCAGCUUUUGCAGCUAGUGAAGGCCACUCCCACCCCCGGGUAGUCGAACUGCCAAAGACGGAUGAAGGCCUUGGUUUUAACGUGAUGGGAGGAAAGGAGCAAAAUUCCCCCAUUUAUAUCUCUCGCAUCAUUCCUGGAGGGGUGGCUGAAAGACACGGAGGCCUCAAGAGAGGAGACCAGCUGCUGUCAGUGAACGGAGUGAGUGUGGAAGGAGAGCACCAUGAGAAGGCUGUGGAACUACUCAAGGCUGCUAAGGACAGCGUCAAGCUGGUGGUCCGAUACACCCCGAAAGUCCUGGAAGAAAUGGAGGCUCGCUUUGAAAAGCUACGGACAGCCCGGCGUCGGCAGCAGCAGCAAUUGCUAAUCCAGCAGCAGCAACAGCAGCAGCAGCAACAGACACAGCAAAACCACAUGUCGUAGGUCCUUGAAGAAAAGCUACUUGAUCAAACAUCCAAUAGUCACAAAUUUGAAACCGUGCUUCAGAAUCCCAGCACAUAGUAAAGGAAAAGACAACACUGAUAAUUAUACCUGUCAAGAAACUGUGAACAUGUGUUGUAUAAAUUCUUUGCCAAGGCAGCUCGACACCUUCUUUCUCUGGGGCUGAACCCCCCACCGUUCACGAGCUCUUUACGCACACAGACCUUCCAUUCGCUGCAGUGGGAAUUCUCAGUGUGUAAAGGGAGAGGUUUUCCAGUCUGCAGACUGAAACAGUAUAAGAAGAAUAAAGUCCAUGACUUUCACAUAAAUCACCAGGGCCAGGGUUAAAUGAAUCUUGGGUCUAUAGCUUUUACAGAGAUUAACAGAUCCCUCAUUAGGCAAUAGUUCAAACUGCAUCAGUUCAAGGUUGUCGCCACUUAAAAGAAACCUACACACUGCCCCUCACCCUGACCUGUUCCACAUCCAUAUUGCUGAGUUGUCUGAAUUAGAAUUUGAGUUAAUUGCAAAUUCAACCUCUGUUCCCCUCUUGAAAACGGCAAGUUGUUACACUAUAUUUAUACUCUCUUCAGGUUCCAGAAGCAGUUGGCUUUUUAUUUUCUGUUUCCAUGAAUUUUAUUAUGCAUGAACAGAGUGGGGCAAUUUCAGCUCAACUUUUAGUUGGUUAGAAGCAAGGAUAGAGAACUCUGGUACUGUUUGUUGUUUUUUUUUUUUUAUUUAAGUCUUACUCAUAUCUAUUCUUAUUAAUUCUAACAGAAUGUAAUCUUUAUUUAUUCCACGAAAUGUAUAUUAUCAGAGUUUGGUAACAAACUUAGGUCUUUUUUUACCAAGUGUUAGGAAUCUGGAAAGGGAAUACAAUGAAAGGACCUAGCUUCAUGAAUUCAUCCUCAUGAUAUUUAUAUAUAACCCUGCUCUCGAUAUUUUUAGUUGAGUUUUAUAUUUUUGAUUGAUAAACUCUAGAGAAUUCUAAACUCUUUUUACCUACACUGAUGUGCUGUCAUAGAAGUCUAUUUGAUAUUUUAAAGCUGAGGGCUUUACAAAACUAAAUUACAUAUGUGCAUAUAUAUAUAUAUAUAUAUACAAAUAUAUGUCAUUCAAAGUUUAGGUCAGUUUUCCCAAAUAUACACUGGAUAUUUUUGUCAAUCUAAGAUCAAAAAUACUAUCCCUCUUAAAAUUAGGCAUACGGAAACCAGUGAUAUUAAUAUUGUGAAUGAAGAGAUGCCGCUGCUUCUAGGGUAAAACUAUACCUACUUCAUUACACAUAUUUCACAUAGGUAAAUAGACAAUGAGACAUCAUCUUUCAGAAGAGUAUCAUUUCCUGGAAAAUUAUCUGUUAGAGUUGCUGAUACUGUUUAUAACUUUUGACUUACGGUUAAUCUAGGAGCAUAAAUCUGAUUUUACUUUAUGGAAUUAACAGGAAGUAAUAAUUAUUUGGGCACUUAAAUACCUUAACCACACAAGUGUACCUGAAAAAAAGAAUAAAUGUCCAGUUGAAACAUUCUAGAUAGAUCAUUAAAACUGAGGCAAAUAUUUGAACAAUCCCUCUUCUCAAAGCGAGAAAUUGGUUCCCCAAGAUACAAUAAACUUCCCAUUUCAGAUGGGUCCCCAAAUUAGCAAUUUAUGAAGCUCAGUUUAGGACUUGUUUUCUUGGGAAUACAAUAAGCGACCCCGCGCAUUUCCUUUUGCCCUGUCAGGCGGUAUUACUGUCCAUACCAGGUUCUGCCUAGUAUUCACAGCCCCUCACCCAGCGUAGGACGAACAGCAAGGAGCCAAGGAGGUGCGCCAAUCCCAGCAGUGCCCUGCUGUGGUAACAGACUCCCAUCCUCGAAUACAUACCAUGUUUUACUCAUGAGAACUUGUGGGAGAGGGCUCUGAAUGUUAUGUAAAAAUAGGUUUACAAAAGAGAUAAGCAUGACUAAAAGGAAUGAGUGGACAAUAUGUGAGUAUUAUUCAGUUUCGAAGAGGUAGUUCUCAUUUUUAUAAGAAAAAUUUAAUAAAACAUAUAUUUUAGUUAUCAUGUAACAGAAAAAUAUUAAAGCUAUUCAGGCUAUGCCACAGAUUCUCAUAAAGGGAGAUCAUGGCACCCUUGUAAUGAGAUAAUGGUCUUUUCAACACAUCUCAAAACAUUGUAUAAAUUUGAAGCUUAAGGUAUAUUUUCAUUUAGCCAUUAAGUGGUUGCUUAAUACUAAAUUAUAUGUUUUCACGUCAAUAUAAAUAUUGUCAUGGUUUUAAAGAAGCAACUAUCAGAUGCGCAGAUACCAUACAUUUGUGUUUUCUGGAUGUCUGUAUUUUGUGCUUCAUCUGCAUAAUGUUAAGUGAUAAUAAAUGUGUGCCCAGUUGUUUGUCCAAGUGAAGGGGCAGUCCAUCACACCUAAGGCAUCUAAGGACAGAUUACACGUCACGCUGGCCCUUCAUACAAAUGACCAGUUGAAUGGCCAGUUUUGUUCAUUAAAAUGUAGUUAUUGAAAUGUAAGCCUUCUCCUGAAGUUUUAAUCAAAAGUAGCCAUUCCUAAGACUUAGAGAGGACCCAUGUGGUUCUCUAAAGGUUCACUGAAGCCAGAGGGAAGAAGAAAAAAAUUACCAGAACUUGUAUUAAUGCUUUUUAUUAUUAAUGAUCAUAUUAGAGCCACUAACAUGUCCAAAAUCACAUUAAAGAUGUAUCAGUUUGCUCCUACAUGAAGCUCAAUCUUUAAUGCUAUAAACAAAUGAGAUAUUAAAAGCUAGGGGAAAAAGCGUUACUAUUUAUUCAUCAGUGACCCUGGUAAAUUUUAGUUCUUUCCCUUGGCCGGGUUAGUGCCCAGAUUUUUCCAAACGCUCUCCUGCUCUGAUUUUGAAGGCAAAUAUACAGAGCAUAGUUCAGUAAAAGAAUACCCCAACCUCUUCAUUGAGGCAUUUACAUUUUGAUUCUGUUGCCAUUUGAAGUAGAACAUCCACAGGGAAAUAAUGAGCUUAAAUUACAAUUGACUUUGGAAAGAAUAACAGAUUUUGUGCUUCCUCAAUCAUGUAAUCAAUAGGGAAUUCUCUAGUUAUGUGAGCUACCACUAUCUUUUAAGACAAUGCUGAGAUCUAAAUGCAAAAAUCUAUCAUUCAGGAGCUUUUUAAGAAUUCAAGGCUGUCUCUAAAGAACUUGGUUAGAGAUGGAUUACACCAAAUUACAAAUGCAGUUUUCAACCAUGGCAAAAUCAAAGUGAUCUGAUCUCAGUUCAUUUCACUCGGCUGUGCCUGCAGGACUCUGAGACACUGGGAUACUUUACCUGCAUUAUUUUUAACCUCCGUAGAUAUUUGUGGAUGUGUGGAUAAUGCCUGAACUUCUCAUCUUUGGGCUAGUUUGUGUUUAUCACACAGACACAGCUUGUUAGUAAGACCAGCUUUAACAACAUUGUGAGGUAAAACUCAAUGGUCUAAAGAUUCAGGGAGGCCAACAUAAGGCAAAAUCUCCCCAAACAUGGGGUACUCCUAUCCAUCUCAUCCCUCUCUAGGUCAAAAUCCAUGAGAAAGGGCUGAACCUGCCUUGUGGACUGCUAUAUCCCUGGCAUCUGGGAUAAUGCCCCGCACAAUAUAGGCACUCAAUAUUUGUUGAAUGAAUGAACAAUUAAAUAGGUGGAUAGACAAGUAAAUGAAGUUUGUCUUCUGAUAAUCUGAAAAAUGUCAGCAACUUAUACUGAUUGGCACUAUAAUUUCUGAGUUAUAUAGUUAGAACUAGAAUUGACUCUUCAUAAAUACUUUUUAGACAUUUGAAUUUAGAACCAAUUGCUUCAAGGGCUACUAACAAGGGUUUGAGGACAGUUAGAUAAGGAAUAAUGUUUGGGGAUUUGGAGUUUUUACAGUGAAUAAAACUCAGCCUUUCUAGUUAUUUAUGAAAGCCCCUUGAGUUACAUGCGAGGAUGACCCAAACACAGAACUCCAUUUAUAAAUUUUGUGAACUAUUACGUUUUCAUCUUUAAAAAAAAGAAAAUUCACAUCAUCAUGCAUAUUACUAACAUCCCCUUCAAUGUUUAUUAGCUAACUUCUAAGUUCAUCAUAAUUGGAGACACCAUCUCUAAAUCCUCUCCUGCUUCCAAAAGAUCACUUCUUUCUUAUUUGCUUCCUAGAAUGUACCUAAUCACAAAGCUAUUAAGAUUUGUCCAUGUGUUUAUUCAUCUAACAGGUAUUUACUGUGCACCUGGUACAUGCUAGGUUCUGGAAACAGAAUGGCAAACAAGACAGACAUAGUGCCCCCAGGGAGUCUGCCGUGAGGAACGCCUCAACAUUUACUCUAGUGGUAACUGGAGUUGACUGUCCAUUGUGUCCUUCUUCACAGCUGAUAGAAGAAAUAAAAUCCCCGACCUUGUGGAAAUCAUAGAAGACUCCCUGUGCAUAUCUACUCGAGGCUGCAUUUCUAAAUACCCUACUCAAGAAUGCUGCUCCAUUUAUCCAUACACCAUAGUUACACCCCAGUGACAGUUUAUCCAUAACUAAUACUCACUUAGCUCUUAGGAGGUUCGACUGUGCUCAGUCCAUUCAUAGACUAUCUCACUGAAUCCCUUCAACAACUCUGUUCAGUAGGUCCUGUUUUAUAGACAAGAAAACAAGCACAGCUAUGUGACCUCUCCAAGGUCACAGAGUUAGCACAUGGAACUGGCGUUUGAACCCCCACAGUAUAACACAAGAGCUCAUGUGUAUAAGCAUCAUCAGUGGCUUGGGGGACACCAUUACAUUAAAAUACAUGUCAGAAAAAUAAGUGUCACUGUAUGUAAAAGUACUUUGUUAUUGUAAAGUAGAAUACAAAAAGAUACUAGUAAAUUAUGAUCAACAAUCCACAUCAGUGGCAGAAACAGAGUGAGAUCUCAAUCUUACGUUACAGCUUAAUCUCAUGAAGACUAUUUCAGGCCAGGGACAUGGAUAAAAAAGUACAGAUCUAGAAAAUUUCUGACGUGAUAAAUAUUGCAUUGACUUUUCAGAAUUAUUUGUUGUUAGCCACUGUGUCUAUUUGGUGCUACAAAAAAAAAUGGAAAGAAACAAAAUCCCUUGCUGUAAGGGCUUAUAAUAAAUACACAGUGUGGAGAUGAAUCAAGGGUAUUUCACAUUUAUGGGGAAAGAUUGGGCGAUAGUACUAUUUUUCUCACCAUUGCAUGUGAUCUUGUCUACUUGUUUUCGUUAUUUUUCUGAAAGAGCUGCAAAAUUGUGCAGUGGUUCAAGCUGACCAAAGUGGUAUUAUGCUGCUGGGAAGUAAAAGUAUCAGAUACUAGA